GCCAGCAUGGCAUAGUGGUCUGAGCACUAGACUAUGACUCUGGAGACCAGGGUUUGAAUCCCUGCUCAGUCA